rnacentral:rRNA from 1 species
UACGAACGGUCCAAACGUUAUUCGGAAUCACUGGGCUUAAAGCGUCCGUAGGCGGCUCGGAAAGUAGGGUGUGAAAUCCCACGGCUCAACCGUGGAAUUGCGCUCUAAACUAUCGAGCUAGAGGGAGAUAGAGGUGAGCGGAACUGAUGGUGGAGCGGUGAAAUGCGUUGAUAUCAUCAGGAAGACCAGUGGCGAAGGCGGGUCUCUGGACAGUUCCUGACGCUGAGGCACGAAGGCCAGGGGAGCAAACGGG